GUCGGUAUGUUCAAGUGGUUAAGGAGACGGACUUGAAAUCUGUUGGACUUCGCUCGCACAGGUUCAAACCCUGUUGUCGAUG